rnacentral:rRNA from 1 species
GACGAACGCUGGCGGCGUGCCUAAUACAUGCAAGUAGAACGCUGAAGGAGGAGCUUGCUUCUCUGGAUGAGUUGCGAACGGGUGAGUAACGCGUAGGUAACCUGCCUGGUAGCGGGGGAUAACUAUUGGAAACGAUAGCUAAUACCGCAUAAUAGCAGUUGUUGCAUGACAACUGUUUGAAAGGUGCAAUUGCACCACUACCAGAUGGACCUGCGUUGUAUUAGCUAGUUGGUGGGGUAACGGCUCACCAAGGCGACGAUACAUAGCCGACCUGAGAGGGGGAUCGGCCACACUGGGACUGAGACACGGCCCAGACUCCUACGGGAGGCAGCAGUAGGGAAUCUUCGGCAAUGGACGGAAGUCUGACCGAGCAACGCCGCGUGAGUGAAGAAGGUUUUCGGAUCGUAAAGCUCUGUUGUAAGAGAAGAACGAGUGUGAGAGUGGAAAGUCCACACUGUGACGGUAUCUUACCAGAAAGGGACGGCUAACUACGUG